UACUCCUUGAUCAGCUUGUCUUGUAAUUCAAACCACUUUCCUGUGGAGCAUCAAAAUGCUUGUUUCUCUGUGUUAAGCAUACAUGAUAAAGAAUCAGGAUGAUGCCCCACAACAUUUGCCUAUGUAUUAGAAAGCCAUCCUGAGGUACAUGGAAGGAAAUCGUGAUCUAUCUGGUCCUAAGGGAUGAUGGAAAAAGAGAUAAAAUGGAAAUACAAACUGUGAGCAGCUACUGCUCUGAACUGUAAACAUCAAUGUGUAGUUUUUGGCAGAUGGAGUGGUUCUAUUUUGUUGGUUUUCAGAACUGAGGUCAUAAUGAAGAGGGGUGCUUGGGGCAUUCCUAUUUUGCCAAUAAAGUUGAGAUUCUUGGACGGUUGCAAGACAGACCAGAGUGAAAGCGUUUGCCAAAAAUGUUUUCAUUAAUUAAGAAAGUGGGAGGUUCGAAGAUGAUCAGAUACCAUCGUAGUUCCGACCACAAGCAAAGCCAACUGGAGAUGCAGUGGUGUUAUUCCCAUGACCCUCCGAGUAACUUCCUGAAAACCUAAGUGUUUGUGUUUGGGGGGAGUAUGGUUGCAAAGCUGAAACUUAAAGGAAUUGAUGGAAGUUCACCACUAGGAGAGGAGCCUGCAGCUUAAUUUGAGUCAACAUGGGAGAACUCACCCGGACCAGACAUGGACAGGAUUCAUCGCUCUUUCUUGAAUCCAUGGGUGGUGGUGCAUGUCUGUUCUUAUUUGGUGGAGCGAUGUGUCUGGUUAAUUCCAAUAAGGAAGGAGACUCUGGCAUGCUAACUAGUUAAGUGACCCCCUAGCAGUUAGCAUCACCCAACUUCUUAUAGGGACAAGUGGCAUUCAGCCACCUGAGCUUGAGCAAUAACAGGUGUGUGAUGCCCUUAGAUGUCUGAGGCUGCAUGCACACUACACUGACUGGCUCAGCGUGUGCCUACUCUAUGCCAGCAGGAGCGAGUAACCCAUUGAACCCUGUUCGUGACAGGGAUCAGGAAUUGCAAUUAUUCCCCAUGAAUGAGGAAUUCCCAGUAAGUGCAGGUCAUAAGCUUGCAUUAAUUAAGUCCCUGUCCUUUGUACACACUGCCUGUCACUACUACCAAUUGGGUGGUUAGGUGAAGCCCUCAGAUUGGCCCUGAAGGUGUCUGCCCAUGGCCCUGGUUGCGUGCUGAGUAGAAGUCGAACUUGGCUAUCUUUAGGAAGUAAAAGUCCCAACAAGGUUCCUGCAGGUGAACCUGCAGAAGGAUCAUUA
rnacentral:ncRNA from 1 species